CUCACCAGUCAGGAGCCUGGGGCAGAGCAGCUGAUGACAACUCUCCACCAAGACCGUCUCCUCCGGCACGGCACAGUGAAGGACGGUGCUCGGGAAAGGACGCCAAUGCAGAAGGCCAGUGGGCAGAUGGGGACAUCGAGUCGCAGUGACCCGGGGAGGGCGGAGUCAGCUCCCCUGGGCAAGCGCACUUUGGAGGAAAAGACACCAAGUGGGAUCCUUGGAGGAUUCCGCCAGGAGGAAGGGGCAUUCCAGGCUGAAAGGACAACACACGAAAAGCACUGAGCUAUAGAUAUGGAUAUAGAGAGAGAGAGCAGUGGGAAAGACGGAC
rnacentral:lncRNA from 1 species